rnacentral:misc_RNA from 1 species
GUCGUUAAACGUUGUACUUCUUAAGUUAGAUAGGUUAGGGUUAUUUUUUUUUUUUUUUUUUGUUAAACGAAACUGUCGUUAAACGUACUUCUUAAGUUAGAUAGGUUAGGGUUAUUUUUUUUUUUUUUUUUUUGUUAAACGAAACUGUCGUUAAACGUACUUCUUAAGUUAGAUAGGUUAGGGUUAUUUUUUUUUUUUUUGUUAAACGAAACUGUCGUUAAACGUACUUCUUAAGUUAGAUAGGUUAGGGUUAUUUUUUUUUUUUUUGUUAAACGAAACUGUCGUUAAACGUACUUCUUAAGUUAGAUAGGUUAGGGUUAUUUUUUUUUUGUUAAACGAAACUGUCGUUAAACGUACUUCUUAAGUUAGAUAGGUUAGGGUUAUUUUUUUUUUUUUGUUAAACGAUACUGUCGUUAAACGUACUUCUUAAGUUAGAUAGGUUAGGGUUAUUUUUUUAUUUUUUUUGUUAAACGAAACUGUCGUUAAACGUACUUCUUAAGUUAGAUAGGUUAGGGUUAUUUUUUUUUUUUUGUUAAACGAAACUGUCGUUAAACGUACUUCUUAAGUUAGAUAGGUUAGGGUUAUUUUUUUUUUUUUUUUCGUUAAACGAAACUGUCGUUAAACGUACUUCUUAAGUUAGAUAGGUUAGGGUUAUUUUUUUUUUUUUUUUGUUAAACGAAACUGUCGUUAAACGUACUUCUUAAGUUAAAUAGGUUAGGGUUAUUUUUUUUUUUUUUUUUGUUAAACGAAACUGUCGAUAAAUGUUUAAUUAAUUUUAUAUAUAAUAUAUAAAGUAUAGCAAUUAAUUUUAUAUACAAUAUUAAUUAUAUGUAUAUGAUAAUUUUAAAUUAGAUACGUUAUGGUUGUUUUUUUUUUUGCA